AGAACCAGAGGAGGGUAGAAAACAGCUAGACCCGGCCGCGCGAGGGUGCCCGGCCCACCCGCAGUGCACGGAGCGUUACUUUUACAUGUGAUGGGUUGGGGCUCCGUGCUGGCCAGGCUGGUGACCUGCACCCACCCAGCGUGCUGCUUCUGAGGGCCGCCUGGGAGGAGCCCCAGGCACGUGCUAUGUACCCCUUCACCCUUUCAAGGACCGAGGAUGGACUGGACACUAGUACUGAUUUCAGAUACUCUUCACCCCACCCUAUGGAACCCAGAACAGGAACUUUCUCUACCCAAGUCUCAAGCUAGCCAAGCUGUGCAGGUGGCUGGUGGGUCCCAGAGUCUUGGACUGAGUCACACCCCAGAGAUGAGAGGUGGUGGAGGAGCCAAGGCUGUCAUUAAAUCAAGUCUUUUAGCA